GCACUGAGAAGCUGAAUCAGCGCGAUACUCAGAUCAACCUCGGUCUCUCUGGCUGGAUAUUUAUCGGGUUCUGCCUGAAAGGCCGUCUAACGCCUUUCCUCUUGGAAAAGUUGCAGGAACAGAAUCUUGUUCUGUUGCCCAGGCUGCUCUUGAACUCUUGGCUUCAAGAGAUCCUCUUGCCUUGGCCUCCGAAAGUGCUGGGAUGAAUCUCUGUCAUGGUGGCAUGAGCCACCAUGCCCGGCCCAGAUCCUGAAUUCUAGCAGGACAGCUCAUGCCCACCAGUCUGAAGACACCAAAAGGAGAACUGACUCAAUGCAAGAAUGCAAUUUCUUUAGUUCCAUGACGUCACCCUUCAUUCUUCAACCAAUCAGUGAUCCUUAUACCUUGGCCCACUAACCAUCCAAACCCCUUAGAAUCCCUAGAUCCUAAACUCCUUGAGGAGGUGGAUUUGAGGUUUCCUCCAGUCUCCUUGUUUGGCUGCCUUGUGAUUAAACCUCUUUCUCUGCUGCAA